GGAAUAAGGAGCCAUCAGCUAACCAAGUGACCUGCCCAUAAAAACCAUCCAGGCUCUUUAAAGCAAGGCCAUAUAGGCAAGUCAUCCUUGGCUAACAAAUCAAAGACUCCUUUAUU
rnacentral:pre_miRNA from 1 species